rnacentral:rRNA from 1 species
UACGGAGGAUCCAAGCGUUAUCCGGAAUCAUUGGGUUUAAAGGGUCCGUAGGCGGUCCUGUAAGUCAGUGGUGAAAGCCCAUCGCUCAACGGUGGAACGGCCAUUGAUACUGCAGGACUUGAAUUACUGGGAAGCAACUAGAAUAUGUAGUGUAGCGGUGAAAUGCUUAGAUAUUACAUGGAAUACCAAUUGCGAAGGCAGGUUGCUACCAGUGUAUUGACGCUGAUGGACGAAAGCGUGGGUAGCGAAC